rnacentral:rRNA from 1 species
CAUAUGCUUGUCUCAAAGAUUAAGCCAUGCAUGUCUAAGAAUAAGCCCUAGAACGGCGAAUCUGCGAAUGGCUCAUUACAUCAGUUAUUGUUUAUUUGAUGGUACCUUUGCUUAACUAGCUAGGCUACUUGGAUAACCGUAGUAAUUCUAGAGCUAAUACAUGCUACACUAAUCCCUGUGCCUUUCUCUUUCGGGAGGGGGGCUGAGCAUUUAUUAGAUUCAAACCAUCGUGGGGCGACCUGCUAUGGUGAGUCAUAAUAACUAAGCGAAUCGGAAAAACAAAAAGCACGCAAGUGCUUUUCCGAUGCUUCAUUCAAAUUUCUGCCCUAUCAGCUUUCGAUGGUAGGAUCUUGGCCUACCAUGGCGAUCACGGGUAACGGGGAAUAAGGGUUCGGUUCCGGAGAGGGAGCUUGAGAAACGGCUACCACAUCCAAGGAUGGCAGCAGGCGCGCAAAUUACCCAAUCCCGACACGGGGAGGUAGUGACAAUAGGUAACAAUGCUGGGCUGCUUUCGUAGCACGGCAAUUGGAAUGAGAGUAAGAUACAUCUUACAUUGUUUAAACCCAUAUUCGAGGAGCCAUUGGAGGGCAAGUCUGGUGCCAGCAGCCGCGGUAAUUCCAGCUCCAAUAGCGUAUAUUAAAGUUGUUGCAGUUAAAAAGCUCGUAGUCUGAUGGGCAGAGGGGUAUUUGAGUAUGGGGAUUUGGUGGCCUUUUGGAGUUGCAUUUCGGUGUGAUUUCGAAUGUGUCACUUGCCCUUUCAAGACCUCUCCAGCACCUUUUUGCUACUUCCCAGUGGCAAAGGUGUGGUACUUCUGAUUAUGCAAACAAGAAUUUAUUUUCUUUUUGCGUGUCAGAUAGUUUACUUUGAGAAAAAUAGCGUGUUCAAAGCAGGCGUUGAUUUGCCUACUAAUUGCUUUUUAUUAAGGAAAGUGCGACUUGAAUACAUUAGCAUGGGAUAAUAAAAUAGGACAUUGGUUCUGUGUUUCGACCUCCGAUCUUAGGUUCCCUCGCAAGGGGGAAACGGUUGAGGACCGAUGUAAUGAUCAACAGGGACAGUUGGGGACAUUCAUACUCCAUGGCUAGAGGUGAAAUUCUUGGAUUCAUGGAAGAUGAACUAGUGCGAAAGCAUUUGUCAAAGAUGUUUUCACUGAUCAAGAACGAAAGUUAGGGGAGCAAAGACGAUCAGAUACCGUCGUAGCCUUAACCAUAAACGAUGCCGACUCGGGAUUGGACGAUGUCAUGGUGGAAUUUGCCAGAUGCUUCGGGUGUUUUCACAAGCGACUCACCCAGCACCUCCGUUAAUCAAAACACACAAGGGAAACCGUUAAGUGUUUGGGUUCCGGGGGGAGUAUGGUCGCAAGGCUGAAACUUAAAGGAAUUGACGGAAGGGCACCACCAGGAGUGGAGUUUGCGGCUUAAUUUGACUCAACACGGGGAAACUCACCAGGUCCAGACAUGGUAAGGAUUGACAGAUUGGGAGCUCUUUCUUGAUUCCGUGAAAGGUAGCGCAUGGCCGUUCUUAGUUGGUGGAGUGAUUUGUCUGGUUAAUUCCGUUAACGAACGAGACCUUGACCUGCUAACUAGUUGCGGUGGGUAGCUUGGAACAUCAGGAAGAUGGAUUCCUUCUUGCUUUCGGGUAGGAGGGGCCUCUUUCGUUCCAGGCAUUAACGCCUGCUGUGUGUCCCUUGUCCGAAAAGACAAGGGGCCGUGAAUUCAAAAACACAACUUCUUAGAGGGACAAUCUGCGUUUUUAGCAGAAGGAAGCAAAAGGCUAUAACAGGUCUGUGAUGCUCUUAGAUGUCCUGGGCUGCACGCGUACUACACUGACGAGCGCAGCAAGUGUCUAUGACAACGAGGUUGCCUUUUGGCUUUACCGUCAUUUGGUGGCUUCGUUUUGCCUUGGCAGAAAUGUCUGGGUAAUCUUCUCAACGCUCGUCGUGAUGGGGAUAGAUGAUUGUAAUUAUUCGUCUUCAACGAGGAAGUCCUAGUAAGUGUG